UGGUGUGAGCCGGGGCUCGGCGCGAGAGAGGGACGACGGAAGGGACCGGCAGGUGUGGGCGCGGGGCCGCGCAGUCCGACGGCGGGAGUCGCAGCCGCUCGGUGCAUGGGCCAGUGAGGACGCGCGGAGAUCCCCUCGCCGCGGCGGAGGCGGAGCAGCGCGGGAGUAAGGCGCUGCCCAGAGACCCUGCGUCCGAGCGAGCGGAACCUUGCGCUUCGCCCGGGGACGGUCCGAAGUCCGCGCUAUGGAAGAGGAGAAAUAUUUGCCUGAGCUGAUGGCAGAGAAAGACAGCCUGGAUCCAUCUUUUGUGCAUGCAUCGCGCCUUUUGGCGGAAGAAAUUGAAAAAUUUCAAGGUUCUGAGGGAAAAAAGGAAGAUGAAGAAAAGAAAUAUCUUGAUGUCAUCAGCAACAAAAACAUAAAGCUCUCAGAAAGGGUAUUGAUUCCUGUCAAGCAAUAUCCAAAGUUCAAUUUUGUGGGGAAAUUGCUUGGACCAAGAGGAAACUCCUUGAAGAGACUACAGGAAGAAACAGGUGCUAAAAUGUCUAUCCUGGGCAAAGGAUCAAUGAGAGAUAAAGCAAAGGAAGAAGAAUUAAGGAAGAGUGGGGAAGCCAAAUAUGCCCACUUGAGUGAUGAACUUCAUGUAUUAAUUGAAGUGUUUGCUCCACCUGGGGAAGCUUAUUCACGAAUGAGUCAUGCUUUGGAAGAGAUUAAAAAAUUCCUUGUUCCCGACUACAAUGAUGAAAUUCGUCAGGAACAACUACGUGAAUUAUCUUACUUAAAUGGCUCAGAGGACUCUGGUCGUGGCAGAGGUAUUAGAGGCAGAGGGAUCAGAAUAGCUCCCACAACCCCUUCAAGGGGCCGUGGGGGUGCCAUUCCUCCUCCCCCACCACCGGGCCGAGGUGUACUCACCCCUCGAGGGACUACUGUGACUCGUGGAGCUCUUCCAGUGCCCCCUGUAGCAAGAGGUGUCCCUACCCCACGAGCCCGGGGGGCACCGACCGUGCCAGGAUACAGGGCACCCCCUCCUCCAGCCCACGAAGCUUAUGAAGAAUAUGGGUAUGAUGAUGGCUACGGGGGUGAAUAUGAUGACCAGACCUAUGAGACUUACGAUAACAGCUAUGCCACCCAAACGCAAAGUGUCCCUGAGUACUAUGACUACGGUCAUGGAGUAAGUGAGGAUGCCUAUGACAGCUACGGCAAUAAAAGGAAAAAGAGAGUGGGGAUCAGGAUCUUCUUUCAGAUGAAAGGAGUGAUGGAAAAUGCACCAGAAGAAUGGGCCACAACCCGCUCCAGCCUGAAGGCACCACCACCAAGGUCAGCCAGAGGGGGAUACAGGGAGCACCCCUAUGGUAGAUAUUGAAGGUCCUUCUCACCUGUGACCUCACCUCAAAGACAAUUCAUAGCCUGUGGUCUCCACAUAAACAGCAACAAGACAAGUAUCCACAAGCAAAGAUCACAUAAGUGAAAAGCAGAUGUGGUGGGCUAAGAAGGACCGAGGCCAGAUAAGAAGAAAAUUUGGAUUUGAACCAAUGUGAUUCUGAAGUGACUACGAAUAACAACCACUGAUUAAAAUAUAUGUGGAACAUAGCAAUAUGUUAAUUACGCAGCUUUAAAAAGAAGAGGUUAAUCUGCGCUGGGAUUUUAAAAGACAGCUUCCCAGAAGACGUGAGAUUUGGAUGAAAAGUCAGAUAUGGACAGAAGCUAGAUGCUCCACUUAGAGGAAUACAAACAAAUUGAAGCUGAUUUAACCAACACACACUACCCAGCAGCUGAGAAACCUUCGUGAAGCAAGGGCUGUUUGUGGCAUAGUAUACAACAAUAACAACAACUCAACAAAUCUACCACAGGAGAAAUAGAAGAUAACUAUUAAAGAUAGGUAUACUAGCCCUGAAAACCUCAGCCUCAUUUUUCGUCUACAAUGAAAAUAAAGUGAAGUUUGUAAUAUGUCUCUUAUCAACAAUAAAUACAUACUGACCCAUAUGUUCUCUCUUUACUAGCAUAAUGCCAAUUGAUUUUCAUCAUUAAGAGAUCCUCAAGUGAUAGAUGAAUUUUCAAAGCCUUCAAAGAAAUUAUAUAUUGAACUUAAUGUAGCUUGAUUGGUACUUUCCUCGAAAGACAAUCUUAUUCGCUGCAGAAGACAUUGGAGCCUUCAAUAGUUGGAGCUGGAGGCCUUCACCAGAAAGCAGUCUUUCACCUAUGUUUUGACUCUACCUUUUACUCUUGAAAUCAACUUUGGUACAAGUAUGAUCUUCGGCUAUCAGACUCUAUCGUACAUCUGUAAAAUU